ACCCUGCUCAGUGGUGACAGACAAAAAUGUUUCCAGAUACUGCCAAAUGUUCCCCGGGGAAGUAGCAGCAAAAGGGUCCCCAGUUAAAACCACAAAAUUGUAACAUCACCUCUAAUAUUUAUAUUUAGAUGAAUAACUUAAUUAAGCACUGAGAGCAAACCCUAAAAAAUGUGCAAGUUUAAAGGAAAAGGAAGACUGAAAUCAGGAGCUGAGUGAAGUCCUGAAAAGAGUUCUAGAUGCUGGGAAGUCCAAGAUCAAGGUGCCAGGAGAUUCCAUGUCUGCAAGGAAUCCGCCUCCUGAUUCAUAAGGGCGCCUGGGUGGCUCAGUCGGUUAAACGUCUGACUUCGGCUCAGGUCAUGAUCUCACCAUCCAUGAGUUGGAGCCCUGUGUCAGGCUCUGUGCUGAGAGCUCAGAGCCUGGAGCCUGCUUCACAUUCUGUGUCUCCCCCUCUCUCUGCCCCUCCCCUGCACACUCUCUGUCUCUCAAAAAUGAAUAAACGUUAAAAAAAAAUUUUUAAAUAUUUCUAUUUUAUUUUUUUAAAGUAGUCUCCACAACCAAUGGAGGGGCUUGAACCCACAACCCUGAAUUCAAGAGUCACAUGCUCUACCUACUAAACUAGCCAGGGACCUCUUUCAUUGGUUUCAAUGCUUCCAGGUGUAAUGAUUAGUUAGAAAAUAAUCUGGGGACGCCUGGGUGGCUCAGUCUGUGAAGCUUCAGACUUUGGCUCAGAUCAUGAUCUUGCCAUUCAGUGUUUGAGCCUCACAUCGGGCUCUGUGCUGGCAGCUCAGAGCCUGGAGCCUGUUUCAGAUUCUGUGUCUCCCUA